UUAAGUUAUUAAGGGCGCACGGUGGAUGCCUUGGCACUAGAAGCCGAUGAAGGACGUUACUAACGACGAUAUGCUUUGGGGAGCUGUAAGUAAGCUUUGAUCCAGAGAUUUCCGAAUGGGGAAACCCAGCAUGAGUUAUGUCAUGUUAUCGAUAUGUAAAUACAUAGCAUAUCAGAAGGCACACCCGGAGAACUGAAACAUCUUAGUACCCGGAGGAAGAGAAAGAAAAUUCGAUUCCCUUAGUAGCGGCGAGCGAAACGGGAAGAGCCCAAACCAACAAGCUUGCUUGUUGGGGUUGUAGGACACUCUAUACGGAGUUACAAAGGACGACAUUAGACGAAUCAUCUGGAAAGAUGAAUCAAAGAAGGUAAUAAUCCUGUAGUCGAAAAUGUUGUCUCUCUUGAGUGGAUCCUGAGUACGACGGAGCACGUGAAAUUCCGUCGGAAUCUGGGAGGACCAUCUCCUAAGGCUAAAUACUCUCUAGUGACCGAUAGUGAACCAGUACCGUGAGGGAAAGGUGAAAAGCACCCCGGAAGGGGAGUGAAAUAGAACCUGAAACCGUGUGCUUACAAGUAGUCAGAGCCCGUUAAUGGGUGAUGGCGUGCCUUUUGUAGAAUGAACCGGCGAGUUACGAUUUGAUGCAAGGUUAAGCAGUAAAUGUGGAGCCGUAGCGAAAGCGAGUCUGAAUAGGGCGUUUAGUAUUUGGUCGUAGACCCGAAACCAGGUGAUCUACCCUUGGUCAGGUUGAAGUUCAGGUAACACUGAAUGGAGGACCGAACCGACUUACGUUGAAAAGUGAGCGGAUGAACUGAGGGUAGCGGAGAAAUUCCAAUCGAACCUGGAGAUAGCUGGUUCUCUCCGAAAUAGCUUUAGGGCUAGCCUCAAGUGAUGAUUAUUGGAGGUAGAGCACUGUUUGGACGAGGGGCCCCUCUCGGGUUACCGAAUUCAGACAAACUCCGAAUGCCAAUUAAUUUAACUUGGGAGUCAGAACAUGGGUGAUAAGGUCCGUGUUCGAAAGGGAAACAGCCCAGACCACCAGCUAAGGUCCCAAAAUAUAUGUUAAGUGGAAAAGGAUGUGGCGUUGCCCAGACAACUAGGAUGUUGGCUUAGAAGCAGCCAUCAUUUAAAGAGUGCGUAAUAGCUCACUAGUCGAGUGACACUGCGCCGAAAAUGUACCGGGGCUAAACAUAUUACCGAAGCUGUGGAUUGUCCUUUGGACAAUGGUAGGAGAGCGUUCUAAGGGCGUUGAAGCAUGAUCGUAAGGACAUGUGGAGCGCUUAGAAGUGAGAAUGCCGGUGUGAGUAGCGAAAGACGGGUGAGAAUCCCGUCCACCGAUUGACUAAGGUUUCCAGAGGAAGGCUCGUCCGCUCUGGGUUAGUCGGGUCCUAAGCUGAGGCCGACAGGCGUAGGCGAUGGAUAACAGGUUGAUAUUCCUGUACCACCUAUAAUCGUUUUAAUCGAUGGGGGGACGCAGUAGGAUAGGCGAAGCGUGCGAUUGGAUUGCACGUCUAAGCAGUAAGGCUGAGUAUUAGGCAAAUCCGGUACUCGUUAAGGCUGAGCUGUGAUGGGGAGAAGACAUUGUGUCUUCGAGUCGUUGAUUUCACACUGCCGAGAAAAGCCUCUAGAUAGAAAAUAGGUGCCCGUACCGCAAACCGACACAGGUAGUCAAGAUGAGAAUUCUAAGGUGAGCGAGCGAACUCUCGUUAAGGAACUCGGCAAAAUGACCCCGUAACUUCGGGAGAAGGGGUGCUCUUUAGGGUUAACGCCCAGAAGAGCCGCAGUGAAUAGGCCCAAGCGACUGUUUAUCAAAAACACAGGUCUCUGCUAAACCGUAAGGUGAUGUAUAGGGGCUGACGCCUGCCCGGUGCUGGAAGGUUAAGAGGAGUGGUUAGCUUCUGCGAAGCUACGAAUCGAAGCCCCAGUAAACGGCGGCCGUAACUAUAACGGUCCUAAGGUAGCGAAAUUCCUUGUCGGGUAAGUUCCGACCCGCACGAAAGGCGUAACGAUUUGGGCACUGUCUCAACGAGAGACUCGGUGAAAUCAUAGUACCUGUGAAGAUGCAGGUUACCCGCGACAGGACGGAAAGACCCCGUGGAGCUUUACUGUAGCCUGAUAUUGAAAUUCGGCACAGCUUGUACAGGAUAGGUAGGAGCCUUUGAAACGUGAGCGCUAGCUUACGUGGAGGCGCUGGUGGGAUACUACCCUAGCUGUGUUGGCUUUCUAACCCGCACCACUUAUCGUGGUGGGAGACAGUGUCAGGCGGGCAGUUUGACUGGGGCGGUCGCCUCCUAAAAGGUAACGGAGGCGCUCAAAGGUUCCCUCAGAAUGGUUGGAAAUCAUUCAUAGAGUGUAAAGGCAUAAGGGAGCUUGACUGCGAGACCUACAAGUCGAGCAGGGUCGAAAGACGGACUUAGUGAUCCGGUGGUUCCGCAUGGAAGGGCCAUCGCUCAACGGAUAAAAGCUACCCCGGGGAUAACAGGCUUAUCUCCCCCAAGAGUUCACAUCGACGGGGAGGUUUGGCACCUCGAUGUCGGCUCAUCGCAUCCUGGGGCUGUAGUCGGUCCCAAGGGUUGGGCUGUUCGCCCAUUAAAGCGGUACGCGAGCUGGGUUCAGAACGUCGUGAGACAGUUCGGUCCCUAUCCGUCGUGGGCGUAGGAAAUUUGAGAGGAGCUGUCCUUAGUACGAGAGGACCGGGAUGGACAUACCUCUGGUGUACCAGUUGUCGUGCCAACGGCAUAGCUGGGUAGCUAUGUGUGGACGGGAUAAGUGCUGAAAGCAUCUAAGCAUGAAGCCCCCCUCAAGAUGAGAUUUCCCAACUUCGGUUAUAAGAUCCCUCAAAGAUGAUGAGGUUAAUAGGUUCGAGGUGGAAGCAUGGUGACAUGUGGAGCUGACGAAUACUAAUCGAUCGAAGACUUAAUCAA
rnacentral:rRNA from 2 species